rnacentral:rRNA from 1 species
UACGUAGGGUGCAGGCGUUAAUCGGAAUUACUGGGCGUAAAGCGUGCGCAGGCGGUCUUUUAAGUCAGAUGUGAAAUCCCCGGGCUUAACUUGGGAAUUGCGCUUGUGACUGGCGUGCUGGAGUGUGGCAGAGGGAGGUGGAAUUCCACGUGUAGCAGUGAAAUGCGUAGAGAUGUGGAGGAACACCGAUGGCGAAGGCAGCCUCCUGGGCCAGCACUGACGCUCAUGCACGAAAGCGUGGGGAGCAAACAGG